AGAGUUUGAUCCUGGCUCAGGAUGAACGCUGGCGGCGUGCCUAAUACAUGCAAGUCGAGCGAACGGACGAGAAGCUUGCUUCUCUGAUGUUAGCGGCGGACGGGUGAGUAACACGUGGAUAACCUACCUAUAAGACUGGGAUAACUUCGGGAAACCGGAGCUAAUACCGGAUAAUAUUUUGAACCGCAUGGUUCAAAAGUAAAAGACGGUCUUGCUGUCACUUAUAGAUGGAUCCGCGCUGCAUUAGCUAGUUGGUAAGGUAACGGCUUACCAAGGCAACGAUGCAUAGCCGACCUGAGAGGGUGAUCGGCCACACUGGAACUGAGACACGGUCCAGACUCCUACGGGAGGCAGCAGUAGGGAAUCUUCCGCAAUGGGCGAAAGCCUGACGGAGCAACGCCGCGUGAGUGAUGAAGGUCUUCGGAUCGUAAAACUCUGUUAUUAGGGAAGAACAUAUGUGUAAGUAACUGUGCACAUCUUGACGGUACCUAAUCAGAAAGCCACGGCUAACUACGUGCCAGCAGCCGCGGUAAUACGUAGGUGGCAAGCGUUAUCCGGAAUUAUUGGGCGUAAAGCGCGCGUAGGCGGUUUUUUAAGUCUGAUGUGAAAGCCCACGGCUCAACCGUGGAGGGUCAUUGGAAACUGGAAAACUUGAGUGCAGAAGAGGAAAGUGGAAUUCCAUGUGUAGCGGUGAAAUGCGCAGAGAUAUGGAGGAACACCAGUGGCGAAGGCGACUUUCUGGUCUGUAACUGACGCUGAUGUGCGAAAGCGUGGGGAUCAAACAGGAUUAGAUACCCUGGUAGUCCACGCCGUAAACGAUGAGUGCUAAGUGUUAGGGGGUUUCCGCCCCUUAGUGCUGCAGCUAACGCAUUAAGCUCUCCGCCUGGGGAGUACGACCGCAAGGUUGAAACUCAAAGGAAUUGACGGGGACCCGCACAAGCGGUGGAGCAUGUGGUUUAAUUCGAAGCAACGCGAAGAACCUUACCAAAUCUUGACAUCCUUUGACAACUCUAGAGAUAGAGCCUUCCCCUUCGGGGGACAAAGUGACAGGUGGUGCAUGGUUGUCGUCAGCUCGUGUCGUGAGAUGUUGGGUUAAGUCCCGCAACGAGCGCAACCCUUAAGCUUAGUUGCCAUCAUUAAGUUGGGCACUCUAAGUUGACUGCCGGUGACAAACCGGAGGAAGGUGGGGAUGACGUCAAAUCAUCAUGCCCCUUAUGAUUUGGGCUACACACGUGCUACAAUGGACAAUACAAAGGGCAGCGAAACCGCGAGGUCAAGCAAAUCCCAUAAAGUUGUUCUCAGUUCGGAUUGUAGUCUGCAACUCGACUACAUGAAGCUGGAAUCGCUAGUAAUCGUAGAUCAGCAUGCUACGGUGAAUACGUUCCCGGGUCUUGUACACACCGCCCGUCACACCACGAGAGUUUGUAACACCCGAAGCCGGUGGAGUAACCUUUUAGGAGCUAGCCGUCGAAGGUGGGACAAAUGAUUGGGGUGAAGUCGUAACAAGGUAGCCGUAUCGGAAGGUGCGGCUGGAUCACCU
rnacentral:rRNA from 1 species